UACGUAGGGGGCAAGCGUUGUCCGGAAUCAUUGGGCGUAAAGAGCGCGUAGGCGGCCCGGUAAGUCCGCUGUGAAAGUCAAGGGCUCAACCCUUGAAUGCCGGUGGAUACUGUCGGGCUAGAGUCCGGAAGAGGCGAGUGGAAUUCCUGGUGUAGCGGUGAAAUGCGCAGAUAUCAGGAGGAACACCAAUAGCGAAGGCAGCUCGCUGGGACGGUACUGACGCUAAGGCGCGAAAGCGUGGGGAGCGAACAGG
rnacentral:rRNA from 1 species